ACCUGGAUGGCCUGGUGAUAAGGUUUCCGAUUCGCAAUCGCUCACUCUGGGUUCGAGUCCCAUUUAGGAG
rnacentral:tRNA from 1 species